AUUGAACGCUGGCGGCAGGCUUAACACACGCAAGUCGAGCGGUAACAGGAGAAGCUUGCUUCUCGCUGACGAGCGGCGGACGGGUGAGUAAUACUUAGGAAUCUGCCCAGUAGUGGGGGAUAGCACGGGGAAACUCGUAUUAAUACCGCAUACACCCUACGGGGAAAAGGGGGCGCUUGCGCUCUCGCUAUUGGAUGAGCCUAAGUCGGAUUAGCUAGUUGGUGGGGUAAAGGCCUACCAAGGCGACGAUCUGUAGCUGGUCUGAGAGGAUGAUCAGCCACACCGGGACUGAGACACGGCCCGGACUCCUACGGGAGGCAGCAGUGGGGAAUAUUGGACAAUGGGGGCAACCCUGAUCCAGCCAUGCCGCGUGUGUGAAGAAGGCCUUUUGGUUGUAAAGCACUUUAAGCAGUGAAGAAGACUCUAUGGUUAAUACCCAUAGACGAUGACAUUAGCUGCAGAAUAAGCACCGGCUAACUCUGUG
rnacentral:rRNA from 1 species